GUGCGAUAAUGACAUUUAGAUUAUAUGCUCAAUUACAUCAAAUGUGUUUUAUUAAAAUGUUUAGUUUCAGACUCCGUUUACACUAGAGCGAAAGAUUUCGGAUUCGCAAAAGUUUCCGGAUUUCAUUGGAAUUUGAGUUUUCGGAUUUGUGGCGUUUACACUAAAGCGGUAACAAGAAAGUUAUCGGAUUCGUCCGUUUACACACAAUCGGAAUUUUCUCAUUCUUGUUGUGCGUCUUUCAAGCAGAGGUCGAAGAUCAUCGCAGAGUUUUUCGAAGUUACAAAGCGACAUCCGAAAGUUAUCUUUCCAAUCGCUAUCUAAACAAACACCGUUUAGCAUAUUGUCCCACCAAGAAGAUGUUCUCCCUGGUUUUAUCCAAAAUCGUCGAGGUCUUCGGUUUUGCCACUUUCUUCGUUUUCGUACCAGUUUUGCAGAAAUUAAAAUAUCAUUCUGCAAUAACUUUCGCCUUCUUAAAAAUAUACCAGUGGCCAUUACAAAAUUUACAAUACUUCCUUGUAAUAAAAUUAAACAACAAACCAAAGACAACAAAACAAUAACGUUCCCCAUGUUGGUUCUAUGGUAAAACCGCAAACUCGUGGAUUAAUUCAAAUUUCUUGCGGAUUAAUCUUGCGGAUUAAUUCAAAUUUCUGUUUAGAACCAUUUACACAUAGAAUUGUCUCGGAUUAAAAUGUUUCCGGAUACAAAGUUUCUACUUUUUUUCCCGGAUUCAAGGUUUUCGGAUACAUUCUACAACCUAGAUGAUUUUCCACCGGAUUCGUCGCUGUAUGUGUAAACACAUGUAUGAAUCCGAUGCCAAAACGUUUCGGUCUUGUGAUGAAUCCGGAAUCUUUCGCUCUAGUGUAAACGGGAUAUCUCAGUGAAAGUAAAUAUCUAGUGUAAUAGAGUUCAUAAUAGGUGCAGAAGAGUUCUACGUUAACCAAGGGGCCGGAGCAAAAAAUUUGUCUUAAAUCUUUAUGGAGGGGGGGGGGGUGUAAAUAAAUGAUCAAAUAGUAAUUUUCCCAUUUUCCACACCCUCCCCCUUACCAUAAAUAA